GACGAACGCUGGCGGCGUGCUUAACACAUGCAAGUCGUACGGUAAGGCCCUUUCGGGGUACACGCGUGGCGAACGGGUGAGUAACACGUGAGUAACCUGCCCACAACUUUGGGAUAACGCUAGGAAACUGGUGCUAAUACUGGAUAUGUGCUCCUGCUGCAUGGUGGGGGUUGGAAAGCUCCGGCGGUUGUGGAUGGACUCGCGGCCUAUCAGCUUGUUGGUGGGGUAGUGGCCUACCAAGGCGGCGACGGGUAGCCGGCCUGAGAGGGUGACCGGCCACAUUGGGACUGAGAUACGGCCCAGACUCCUACGGGAGGCAGCAGUGGGGAAUAUUGCACAAUGGGCGCAAGCCUGAUGCAGCAACGCCGCGUGCGGGAUGACGGCCUUCGGGUUGUAAACCGCUUUCAGCAGGGACGAAGCUUUUUGUGACGGUACCUGCAGAAGAAGCACCGGCUAACUACGUG
rnacentral:rRNA from 1 species